AUUGAACGCUGGCGGCAUGCCUUACACAUGCAAGUCGAGCGGCAGCGCCGGGGGCAACCCUGGCGGCGAGCGGCGAACGGGUGAGUAAUGCAUCGGAACGUGUCCUCUUGUGGGGGAUAACCAGUCGAAAGACUGGCUAAUACCGCAUGAGCUCGUAAGAGGAAAGCGGGGGAUCCGUAAGGACCUCGCGCGAGAGGAGCGGCCGAUGCCCGAUUAGCUAGUGGUGGGGUAAAGGCCUACCAAGGCGACGAUCGGUAGCUGGUCUGAGAGGACGACCAGCCACACUGGGACUGAGACACGGCCCAGACUCCUACGGGAGGCAGCAGUGGGGAAUUUUGGACAAUGGGGGCAACCCUGAUCCAGCCAUGCCGCGUGUGUGAAGAAGGCCUUCGGGUUGUAAAGCACUUUCGGACGGAACGAAAUCGCGCGGGCGAAUAUCCCGCGUGGAUGACGGUACCGUAAGAAGAAGCACCGGCUAACUACGUGCCAGCAGCCGCGGUAAUACGUAGGGUGCGGGCGUAAAUCGGAAAUACUGGGCGUAAGUGUGCGCAGGCGG
rnacentral:rRNA from 1 species